GGAGAGAUGGCUCAGUGGUUAAGAGCACUCACUGCUAUUGCACAGGACCUGGGUUUGAUUCCCAGUACCUGCA
rnacentral:tRNA from 1 species